rnacentral:tRNA from 1 species
GACGACGUAGCUCAGUUGGCAGAGCAUUGGGCUAGCAUUCCAAAGGUCGUAGGUUCGAUUCCCGCCGUGGUCA